AUUGAACGCUGGCGGCAGGCCUAACACAUGCAAGUCGAGCGAGCGGCGGACGGGUGCGUAAUGUAUGGGGACUGCCCGAUAGAGGGGGAUAACUACUGGAAACGGUGGCUAAUACCGCUUACUAUCGGAUAACCCAUAUGGGAUUAGCUAGUAGGUGGGGUAAAGGCGCACCUAGGCGGCGAUCUUUAGCUGGUCUGAGAGGAUGAUACGCCAAACUGGGACUGAGACACGGCCCCGACUCCUACGGAGGCAGCUGUGGGGAGUAUUUCACAAUGGGCGCUAGCUUAAUGCAGCCAUGCCGCGUGUAUGAAGAAGUCCUUAGGGUUGUAAAGUACUUUCAGCGGGGAGGCGUUACCCGCAGAAGAAGCACCCGCUAACUCCGUGCCAGCAGCCGCGGUAAUUC
rnacentral:rRNA from 1 species